UACGUAGGGUGCAAGCGUUGUCCGGAAUUAUUGGGCGUAAAGGGCUCGUAGGUGGCCUGUCGCGUCGGCUGUGAAAACUCGGGGCUCAACUCCGAGCUUGCAGUCGAUACGGGCAGGCUAGAGUUCGGCAGGGGAGACUGGAAUUCCUGGUGUAGCGGUGAAAUGCGCAGAUAUCAGGAGGAACACCGGUGGCGAAGGCGGGUCUCUGGACCGUAACUGACGCUGAGGCGCGAAAGCGUGGGGAGCAAACAGG
rnacentral:rRNA from 1 species